rnacentral:snRNA from 1 species
AUUAAGAUCUUCUAGAGUGUGGUUUUCCCAGGGCGAGGCUUAUCCAUUGCACUCAGGAUAUGCUGAACCCUGCGAUUUCCCCAAAUGCAGGAAACUGGACUGCAUAAUUUGUGGUAGUGGUGUACUGUGUUUGCACUUUCCCUGG